ACCCAAACCCCAGGUCCGCUGACUCCUAGUCCAGGGCUCGUGAUGGCUGUUGGGCCCUGAACGAGGGGUCUGGAGGCCUGGGUUUGAAUAUCGCCAGC
ensembl:miRNA MIR345 microRNA 345